UUCAGAGAAGAGAAGUUGUAGCUGAUAGUGCUGCAGGCGUCACAUCAAAACCCGGAAGACUAAUGCUGCGUUCCAGACGAGGUUGGGACCUGGGAAUAUCCUAAAUUAAAUGUCCCACUUCAGACCUCAGUGAGUUCCAGUCAUCACACGUCACGUUCACAUGUCGCCAUUACACAAUGAGAGGAUAUCGUGUUUUUGUGUCAAUUAUGGCCAAAACAUUAUAAAAAUAACAUAAAAUUGCAUAAAAAAUGAAUGUAUCACUACAUAAACUUAAUGUCUAAUGUUAAAGUUUGUUUUUACGUUUAUGCUCAUUGAAAGCGGACUUGCCGACAUCUUGGAAGUUCCGUAAAAUGGCGCGUCUCACUGAGGUCGGGUUUGAUUGAGCUCACACGCUGAAUGUCCGAAUUUGAGUAGCAUUCCAGACGUUAUUUCUUUGAAGGAGGUGGGAAAAAAAUCCAAAUUCCAGACGUUAUUUCCUUGAAGGAGGAAUCCACCACUUUGAAGUGCAGCGGAGGACAUGGCAGUUGUUUGGGCUCAUCCUCUGUGUCAGACACUGUUCCUGUUGGAAUGAAGAUCUAAAGCUGUCUGAUGAUAGAAUAGAUGGAGGGAAAAAUAAACCAAAACCAAAUUCAUCACAAACUGCUUGAACUUACUGCUUUGGAUCUUGUGCUGGAGAUGGCUCGUGUUUGGCGGGGGAACUUCUAACUUCAGAUCGCCUGAAAAGGGUGCUGUUGUGGAUGUACAUCUGCAGAUAAAAGUCCACUAGAGGGAGACAUGGACAUGUCCAAUAUAUUUUUAUGUGUUUUUGGCAGUUUUGGGAGUUUUGCAGUGGGCAGUUUGACAGGAUGCACGUGGGUUUGUGGAGGGACAAGCAGGAAAUGGUUGCAGAAAUCGGAUGCGGUCUGUUGUAUGGGCUACGUGAUCAUUUCUGAGAGGAACCUCUAUUUCGAUGUGUCAAAAUGGAUGAGUAUGUUUGUGCGAGUGUCAACCUCAAAAAUGUGGCUGUAGUCUCUUCUGAUGUGUUAUAUCUACUUUCACUUUAUUUGCGUAAGUGUUUCUAAAGGUUUUGAGGGUGUUUAUGAACAUACCUUCUGAUUUGAGUCAGAGGACCAUGUAGGCCCUUUGGUAUAGCAUUUGUUGGUGUGUGGUAGUGGUGGAAUUGAGUAAAACUUUCUGGUGACUUGUUGGUAGGUAACCACAGAAUUAAAAUGUCAUGUCGGAACCUUGCUAUCAAAGCUCUGACUGUAAAAAUGAAAUAUUUACUUUAAAGGAAUAGUUCACUCUUAAAUUACAGUUCUGAUAUUAGUUAUUCACCCCAUGUUGUUCCUAACAAAUAAUCUCUUUUUUUUCUGUGGAACAUAAACAGAGAAUUUCAUGUAAACAGAGAAUUUCAUGUAAACAGAGAAUCUUCAUGCAGCUCUUUGUCAUAUAAGGAAAGUUCAUGAUGACCAUGGCUGGCAAGGUCUAAAAAAGGACAAAAAACACCAUAAACCACCAUAAAACUAUAGUCCAUAUAGAGCUCCGGAGGUUGACAUCACGCAAUAUAAACUCUGCCAUUUUGGCAGGCCAUCAGGAGAGCGCUAGAACGGCUGAAGCAUUGGUGUCGAUAGUGGUCAAACAAUAACUUAAAACCAGACAUGUUUAGACCUUACAAACCUUACUAUUUCAACAUGCUGGACAGCUGCUGUGCGCCAGGAUGCCAGAACAGGCAGGGGAAAGCAAAGGGAAAAUCAUUUUAUCGUAUUGCUAAUGAUCCCGAUUGACGACUGAAAUGGUUCACUGCAGUAAAACGUGCUAACCAACACAACAAAACAACAGAUGGUUGUAUUUGUAUUUAUUUAUUUUAUUGUCUUUUAUCUCAGUAUUCCUAUAAGUGUUGUAUAAGGGAUUUGAUGUUUAAUAGUAACCCUAAAAUUAUAUGAAAGAGUUUAAAAUGUUAAAUAACUUGGCUGAUAGGCUAUAUACAAAUUUUCAGUAUAAUGUAACUUUACACAUUAUUCCACCAGUUGAACAUAAUAAAAAUUUUUCACACACAUUUCCAUAAAAAUGUCAAAAAAUAAUUAUUGAUUAUUUCAAGGGGCAAUGUCUGGGAAAAUUUGGGAUUAAACGGGUUAAGAUAUUAAUGAAAUUUAUGAUAUCUACUGUAUUCACAGAUAACAUUAGCUAUGGUGUAUACCUACAAACAAGGACAGGUGGCGAUUACAUUACCUAACAACAGUUGACUUACACUUCCAAUGACGACCAAGCAGGUUUUAGCCGACAGACUCCAAAUUUGAAUAUUAAUCACAAAAUUAGAUUGUGUCCAUUUGUACCCCUCCAGGUUUUUGUAGGCUUUUAAAGAGUCUCCAGAGUAGGACGAGGGAAAGUUGAUGAGGUAGGAUACACUUACAGUACAGUCCAAAAUGUUUUUAAAAGAAGUUUCGUCUGCUCAC